GGGGUGGAAAAUAUAAACCUCAGAUUAGCCCUGAUGGGAAACAACACACUUCUCCAACCACAAACACCCCCACAUUUCCCUCCAGUGUAAGGGGGUUUUAGGGGAAUGGGGUGGGGCUAAGGCUGGUGGUACCAGGUGACAACUCCUGGCCUUGUGUCCCCAAACCCUCCUGCCAAGGGAUCCUGUGUGCAUCUGCAGGGGCUCUGGGCCUCGUGGCUUUCCCGCUCUGUGGGAUCUGGACAAGCUCUGCCUCCAAGAAAGUCCUGGCUUCUUUGGGGGGCUGCAGACAGAGCUCCUGAUUAGUGACUGCCAAAGAAUGGGCCCCCCUGCGAGCCAUUGGGAGCCACUGAAAGUUCUGGAGACAGACGGGGCUUGUUCGGAAUCGGCCUUUAGGAAGCUGCUGACCUUGGCCCUGCAGCUCCCAGCUCCAAAGCUCAAAGGUGGAAGUGAGAUGGUGAGGGCAGCCAGGAAGGAAUUACGGGCCAGGGAUCUGGCAGGAAGCUUGACUUCAGCCUGGGAGAGCCGCAGAAAGCACCCAGGAGCCGACCCGGGAAGAGAGCCCUGGAGCUCCCCUCGGCUGCACCACUCACAUGCUUCCUGAGUAGCUGUCCCUGAGCAGGGCCCGAGGUCCUGUCCUCCCGCCACCCAGCUGCGUGUCCUGUGGAAGGCUACUGUCCCCUUGGGCCCGCCAGGUCUACAUCGGCACCCUUCUUGCUGCCUUCGUCUCUAGGCUGGCGCUGCUGGAGGCUCAGCGGAGCUCUGAGCUGGGAAAGGGCUUAGCAAAUAGCAGAAAUGAUCACAGUGGCACCAAAGCAAAAAAGCUCCUUGGGUCCUUACUAUGCGCCAAACCCUCUGAAAUUCUCUGCCUGGUUCAUGGAAAGGCCACGAGACGCUGCAACGCUUUGUUUAAAUAUGAAACCUUGAGAAUAGAGUCGUGGGUUUUAUUUUUACCUCCAGGCACGUGGGUGAAGAGGGGAGUUCCAGCGAUGUUCUUCUAGCUGAACAAAGAAAACUCACAAGCAGGUCUGCCUUUGAGGAAACAGAGGCGUCCAUUGAAAUAUUAAUAUACUGCAGUAGGAAAUUAUUAAGCAAGACAUCCAGCCAGAAUUAUAGACUUUUUUUUUUUUUUUUCUGGAUUAAAGAUGACCUGCUAGGCUAUGGGGAUCAUUCCUGAAAUCAAGGCGUCUUGGACGACUCUUUUGAAGGAAGUAGAAUUUAGGCGGACAACUUCACCUCCAGGUUCAUCUCUGUGGACGUCGGCAACAUUUCCUCCAUCUUAUUUUGAGGACUUUGGAAGGUCUGAAGUUUUCAAGGGUUUGACCGGUUACCAAAGAGAGUUCAAGAGUCGCCUGAAGGAGCCAAAGACUUGUCAUUUGUAGUGAAAAAGAACAGACUAGGAGCCAGGAGCAUAUGCCACUUGCAUAUGCAUAUUCUUAUUCAAUUCCCCCCCACCCCAUGAGAUGGGUAUUAUCAUUAUUCUCCACUCUGUGCAGGAGGAAACUGAGGCUCAGAGAAGUCCAUGAGCUGUCAAAGUACACACAGCAAGGAGGUCAAGGGCUGCACUUGUGAAGAUAGGGACUGGGGCUUCCAUGGAUGGUGCUGGCACCCCAAGGUCAGAGACCCCUAAGUUCCACUGUGGACUGAGCAACUGUAUGAGUUUCCUUUUGCUGCUGUUAACAAGUUGCCAUAAGUGCAGUGGCUUAAAACAACACACGUUUAUCUCUCAGUUCUGGGGGUCAAAGGUCUGAGAUGGGUUUCACUGGGCUAAAAUCAAGGGAUCAGAAUGGUUGCAUUCCUUUUGGACAGGGGAAAUCUGUUCCCUUGCCUGUUCCAGCUCCUAGAAGCUGCCUGCAUUCCUUGGCUUGUGGUCCCUUCCUCCAUCUUCAGUGUGGCAUCUGCUGGUCUCUGUCUGACUCUGAUAUUCCCACCUCGUCCUUCCACUCAUGGGGACUCUUGAUUACCCUGGGCCCACCUGGGUAACCCAAGAUACUCUCAAGAUCCCUAACUUAAUCACAUUUGCAAAUUCCCUUGCCAUGUAAGGUAACAUAUAUUUGCAGGCUCUGGGGAUUAGAAUGUGGGUACCCUUGGAUGGGUCUUUAUUCUGCAGAAGUGGUGGUCUGGGCCAGGGGACCUAGCCUUUGGGAUAGCAGGAGGUUGGAGGGGAUGAGCCUAAAGUGGGUUAGGCUUCUAGCCCACAGGGAGUGACUGAGGCUCCACCCAGGGAUGAUUGUGGGCUGGAGGCUGGCCACGUAGCAAGGAAGAGAAGAGCCAUCCAAACUCCGAUGCUUCUGGGAGGGAGACAGUGCCUUGGAGUUGCCACCUGCCCAUGAAGCAACUGCCCCUUGUGGUCACUGGCCCCUCCUGGAGGGGACUCAGCAUCAGAGUUCAGGUCCCAGCUCUACCUCCUCCCAGAAGCCUGGAUGUGGUUGAGAUGGGGAGCAGGGUAGGCCGGAAAGGGAGGAAACCAACAAGACGCAUGUGCAUGUGACCUCAUUUCAUCCUCACUGAGGUGAAGCUUCUGCCUCCGUUUUGCAGAUGUGGAAACAACAGCUCAGAGAGAUCAUGCGCCUUGUCUGAGAACACACAGCACUGUGGGAUUUCCCAUGCGCCAGGAUUCCCAAACCAGUGACUCCCCAACUGCCAUCAUAGCUGUUUGCCACAUCCGCCUGCCUCUUGGGCUGCGGCUGCCUUGAUAUUUUUCUUUAAAUGGACUUUCUAGUUUUUUAUUUAAAGGCAUCUAUUUUAAAAUGAGACUUUGUAUUACUCCUAUAAGUGGAAAAUCACAGAAUUCAUGGGCUAGUUAUGUAUAUUUUUAUAAUGCACAUUAAAAUGAAUUUAUCCUCAUAAAAAUGAAAAGUAUUCAUCCAUAUACCACGUAAAGGGAUCUCUCAUCUCCAUUAGUGUGUUUGGCCCUCUCUUUGUGAAUUGGCUCUAAACCUGCUCUGGUUUCACAAAUUAUAAUGUUAUUAGUGGCUAUCAUGUGUUAUGGCAUUCCAUUUUCAAAUGGAUUCCUGGCACAAUUAAGUCCAGACUCCUCAGCCUGGCUUCAGGGUUCUGCUGGCCCCUGCUGGCCCCUGCUGUCCUCAUCUCUAGCCAGCCUGGCCCUGCUGUUCUUGGGCAGAACAGAGCUUUUCUUGCUCCAUUGGCUACCCAGCCAGGAAGUGCCAGGAUUUGAACCCAGGCAUGAGCCUUGGGACCAAGGUGUUAACCACUAUACUGUACCAACUUUAUGAUGCCUGGUCUCAGCAAGGCAAAAAAAAAAAAAAAAGAAAAAGAAAAAGAAAAAGACAGGCUUGAAAAUGAAGCAGGGAAGGGCUUAGCCAGGUCACCCAGGAGCCCCAGGCUUGUAGAGACCUCUUGGUGUCAUUGGCAAACAGAAAAAGUUUUGAUCAAGUCCCCCAACCACAUUUUGUAGGUCCCACAGAGAAACUCCUGCCAAGGAGAGGAGCUUAGAGAACUUUUAUAACCUCUCCUGGUGCAGAGAUGAUGGGCAGCUAUAGUGGCCAAUCCUAACUGCAUGAGCUCAUGAGAGGGUGGGACUUCACGGCAGGUCCGGCUGUGUUCUCCACUGGACGUUUCACUUAGCAAGUGAGCUCAGUGUCUAGACAGAACAGGCUUCUGAUGGGAAUUCUGCAAAUGCCUCAUGCUCCCUUCCUUUAUUGCAGUGUGGAUGGAUAACUUCUCGUGGGAGAAGGGAGUAUACAUCCCAGGGUAGAUUGCUUAGUAGUCACAGUAGAUUAAUUCCAGCUUCUCCUAAGAGUGAGGGGGGAAAUCCCUGAUUGCGCAGGAGCAGUAGGGGGCCUCGAGGCUCACAAAGGAGGGCUUGACUGCAGGUCUCCCAGGUUACUGUGAGGCAUCAGUGACCCAGCAGUGGGAAGAGCCUAGCCCAGGGCCUGACCAAUAGUUGAUGGGUUUGCUCAGCAAUUAUUCUUGUCCUGGUUCGGACAGAGUUUAGGAAGACAUGCUUCUCUCCAAGGCUGGGGGUAGCGUGAAAACACCAGCCCUGAGGGGGCAGCUUCUAGCACCAGUCAAGCCUCGGCUUAAAUCCCUAUUCCUCUUCGGGUUAGCUGUGUGACUUCAGACAAAUCACUUUCCCCCUCUGUGCCCUAGUUUCUUCAUCUGUAAAACAGGAAUAAUAACAGUACCUCCCUCAAAGGAUCGAGGAGCGCAUCCGGGAACAGCCUUAGAACACGGAGGAACUACUAGACAAUAGCUUUUGUAGCCCGACAGGCCUGGGUUGGAAUCCUGCCCGCCCACGCUAACUGCUGUGUGAUUUGGGGUGAAUACCUUGACCUCUCUGGACCUCUGUGUCUCUGGCUGGAUGUGGGAUUGGUGACAGUCCCUGCUUCCAAGGAUGGUGGUGAGUGUCCUGUAUAUAACCCCUUACCCGCCAGCCCUGGCACGUGGUAGGCACUGAUGGUGCGAGG
rnacentral:lncRNA from 1 species